CUGGAGUAUAAAUUGAGUGGGCGGCCGCUUAACUUUCCUUUUGCAUUUUUUUUCUCCUGGAAGAGAAGGCUGGAGCUCGCUGUUGGGGAUACAGCUCCUGUAGUCCAGGGGGUGAGCAACGUCCGUGCGUUUGUGGACAAGCCACUUCUAUUAUAUAGUAAACCACCACACAAUCAAAGAGAGUUGAAGAUCUGCUCAGAGCAGCUGAACAAGGAUGUCUCAGGUGACUUCAGUUCUUUGCUGGGAUGCACAGACGUCAUCCCAAGCAGCAAGACAGAAGGGCAAAGAGGAUUCGGUAGUGUGGACCUGACGGCUUCUGAAGGGCGAUCCAGGCUAACGGCUCGUCAUGUUUCAUCGCUCCUGUUCAUCAAAAUCAACGGGCGCCCUUUGAAGUUGUGGAAGCCAGAGAGUGAUCGGUGAUCCAGACUCCUCCUUGAGGACAGGAAAUGAAGUUCAGGCACUGCAGGAUCAGGAAUGUAGCCUUGACUCAUUGUAGUAAAUACCUGAAGCUUAACCUGGGGUAUACCGUAACCGGGGAUUCACCAACUCGACUCCCAAGAAAAUCUGUGUAAGUUCUUUCUUCAGAUCCAGGAAGCAUUCGCUUAAGACCUACACAGUGAUAAGAAACCGGAGGCACAAGACUAUCCAGGCUUCUAAAGGCUACUUAAGAGAGGAGUGGAGUCAGGACCAUCUGAAAGGCUGGGCUCCAAAACACACACUUAUGGCUGGGCUUUAUCCUGGAAUGGGUUUUUUUGCAGUGGCCACAACAGAGUACAGACUUAACAGGCUUUAAAACUCCCAUUUGUUUUACUGCACAAAAUUGGGCGGUGAUGGGAUGCCCACACUAGCCUUUGAGCUAGUGGCUAUGAAUUCCCUUCCUAGAGAGGCUCACCUGGCACCUUCUCUAUGCCCUCCUCAGCACCAGGUGCAGACCUCUUGUUUUAAAUCCAAGCUGUAUAUUGGUUUAGGCUGUCUCUAUAAACGUCUCUUUAUCACUAA